GAUGAACGCUAGCGGAAGGCCUAACACAUGCAAGUCGAGCGGUAUUUGGUAGCUUGCUACUAGAGAGAGCGGCGUACGGGUGCGUAACAUGUGUGCAACCUACCCUUAUCAAGGGGAUAGCCAUUCGAAAGGAUGAUUAAUACCCUAUAAUAUAUCAGGUGGCGUCAUUUGAUAUUGAAAGCUACGGUGGAUAAGGAUGGGCACGCACAAGAUUAGCUAGUUGGUAAGGUAACGGCUUACCAAGGCGAUGAUCUUUAGGGGUCCUGAGAGGGAGAUCCCCCACACUGGGACUGAGACACGGCCCAGACUCCUACGGGAGGCAGCAGUGAGGAAUAUUGGACAAUGGGUGGGAGCCUGAUCCAGCCAUUCCGCGUGCAGGAAGAAGGUCUUAUGGAUUGUAAACUGCUUUUAUAUAGGGAUAAACCUACUCUCGAGAGGGUAGCUGAAGGUACUAUAUGAAUAAGCACCGGCUAACUCCGUGCCAGCAGCCGCGGUAAUACGGGGGGUGCAAGCGUUAUCCGGACUUAUUGGGUUUAAAGGGUCCGUAGGCGGGUUAUUAAGUCAGUGGUGAAAUCUCAUAGCUCAACUAUGAAACUGCCAUUGAUACUGAUAGUCUUGAGUGUAUUUGAAGUAGCUGGAAUAAGUAGUGUAGCGGUGAAAUGCAUAGAUAUUACUUAGAACACCAAUAGCGAAGGCAGGUUACUGAGAUAUUACUGACGCUGAGGGACGAGAGCGUAGGGAGCGAACAGGAUUAGAUACCCUGGUAGUCUACGCUGUAAACGAUGCUAACUCGUUUUUGGUAUUUAGGUAUCAGACACUAAGCGAAAGUGAUAAGUUAGCCACCUGGGGAGUACGCUCGCAAGAGUGAAACUCAAAGGAAUUGACGGGGGCCCGCACAAGCGGUGGAUUAUGUGGUUUAAUUCGAUGAUACGCGAGGAACCUUACCAAGACUUAAAUGGGAAUUGACCGCUAUAGAGAUAUGGGUUUCUUCGGACCAUUUUCAAGGUGCUGCAUGGUUGUCGUCAGCUCCUGCCGUGGAGGGUUAGGGUUAGUCCUGCAACCAGCCCAACCCUUGGCACUAGUUUGCCAUCAUAAGUUGGGGACCUCUAGUGAGACGCCUACGCAAGUAUAGAGGAAGGUGGGGAUGACUUCUAAACAUUUCGGGCCUUACGUCUUGGGCCCCCCCGUUAAUCCAGGGGGGAUACAAAGGGCACCCUUCCCCGCGAGUGGAUGCACAACUUCAAAAUCCGUUUUUCACCUCGGAUUGGAAUUUGCCAACCCGCCUCUAUUAAACUUGGAAACCUCUAGUAGUCGCGGAUUUAGCCUGAACGCGUUAAUUACUUUUCCUGG
rnacentral:rRNA from 1 species